rfam:Rhizobium sp. RT36D genome assembly, contig: Ga0136764_106
CAGGCAUGCUGGAGCUCCGCAGCGGCGCCUGACGAUCGAUCGUCCUCGCACCGUCAACACCUCGGAGCUUGU